rnacentral:rRNA from 1 species
CGUUUAUUGAAUUGAGAUAAUAGACUGCUCCUGCCCACUGUGAAAAUUAACGGCCGCGUUAUCUUGAGCGUGCAAAGGUAGCAUAAUAAUUAGUAUUUUAAUUAGAUACUUGAAUGAAAGGAGGGUCGAAAUUUAAGCUGUCUCUGGUAACAAAAUAUAAAUUAACCCCCAGGUGAAGAGGCCUGGAUGUUUUUGAAAGACAAGAAGACCCUGUCGAGCUGACCUUAAUUUAAAUUAAAGGUUAAUUGGGGCGAUUAGAGAGAUAGAUAACCUCUCUAUUUUAAAGAGUAAAUCAUUUUAAAGAUCCGGGGCUCCCGAAUAGAGAUUAGCUACCGCAGGGAUAACAGGCUAAUCUUUUUCUAAAGUACAAAUUUACAAAAGGGUUUGGCACCUCGAUGUUGGCUUAGGGACCUGUUUUGGUGCAGAAAUUAAAACUAGUGGUUUGUUCAACCAUAAAACCCCU